rnacentral:tRNA from 1 species
UGGCGGAGUAGAUCGGUGGUAGCUCAUCAGGCUCAUAAUCUGAAAGUCGCUGGUUCAAAUCCAGCCUCCGCAA